UUCCUAAAGCAUAGCGUUAAUGCAUUGGAUCCUAUUAGAACUCCACAGUUAAGCACGCUAAGACUAGAGUAGUAUUGGGAUGGGUGAUCGCCUGGGAAGUCCUAGUAUUUUACAUGC
rnacentral:rRNA from 1 species